CAGCACAGGUAGCAAUACCGGGUGGCGACCGGCGCACGGGUGAGUAACGCGUAUGCAACUUGCCUAUCAGAGGGGGAUAACCCGGCGAAAGUCGGACUAAUACCGCAUGAAGCAGGGGCCCCGCAUGGGGAUAUUUGCUAAAGAUUCAUCGCUGAUAGAUAGGCAUGCGUUCCAUUAGGCAGUUGGCGGGGUAACGGCCCACCAAACCGACGAUGGAUAGGGGUUCUGAGAGGAAGGUCCCCCACAUUGGUACUGAGACACGGACCAAACUCCUACGGGAGGCAGCAGUGAGGAAUAUUGGUCAAUGGGCGUAAGCCUGAACCAGCCAAGUCGCGUGAGGGAUGAAGGUUCUAUGGAUCGUAAACCUCUUUUAUAAGGGAAUAAAGUGCGGGACGUGUCCCGUUUUGUAUGUACCUUAUGAAUAAGGAUCGGCUAACUCCGUGCCAGCAGCCGCGGUAAUACGGAGGAUCCGAGCGUUAUCCGGAUUUAUUGGGUUUAAAGGGUGCGUAGGCGGCCUUUUAAGUCAGCGGUGAAAGUCUGUGGCUCAACCAUAGAAUUGCCGUUGAAACUGGGAGGCUUGAGUAUGUUUGAGGCAGGCGGAAUGCGUGGUGUAGCGGUGAAAUGCUUAGAUAUCACGCAGAACCCCGAUUGCGAAGGCAGCCUGCCAAGCCAUGACUGACGCUGAUGCACGAAAGCGUGGGGAUCAAACAGGAUUAGAUACCCUGGUAGUCCACGCAGUAAACGAUGAUCACUAGCUGUUUGCGAUACACAGUAA
rnacentral:rRNA from 1 species